CUCUUCCCUCUCCUGCGCCCACUUGAACUUCUCUGUGCAGUCUUCUCGCACUAAGAGAGGCGGACCCGGCGCUGGAGGGGUAUCCACUCCGACACGCCCCACUGAGGGCUUUGCUUUCACUUAUGGAAGGUCUGGGGCUAGCCAGGACAAGAGUGCCACCCAAAGGAGGACUCAUUGCCUAGAACACAAUACAGAUGACACAGUACAGUCUUGCUGAAAAGGAAAGGAAAAUGGAAGAGAAUGUGACCAAAGGAAUGAGUUUUCCUUUUCGAAGAGCUACAGAAAGUUGCUGAACCCCUUGGAUGACAAAGGAGUCAUACAAGUUAUAAGAAUUGAGAGAAAUUGGGGAAUCCAAAUGGAGUAUGAGUGACUACAAAGCUCUGUGCUACCUUGAAAGCAAAUGGCCUCACAACUAGAGUAACUGAAAAUUAGCAGUCUAGCAGCCACUGCAGGUGGCAGGACAGCUUUGGACCUCCCCAAAUCCUCAGUGCAAGAGAAUUAUCACUAUUUGUCCUGAAUGGAAGCUCCCUGAAAAGCUCAAUUCUCAAGAUUUGUUUUCAUUUGGGCUGAUUCAGAGUUAGCUCUGUGAAAGUAACCCUAUUUCAAGGACAUUUGUUAAAAAAAAAAAUCUCUGGCUAUUGUUUAACACCGUAACAGCCCGAGGCAGCAAUACCUAUGGGGGCUAACAAGAGGCUGAUUGAAAAAUACAAAAGGAGAAACAAGAUGCCCAUAGGGAACUUUGAAAAGAUCCAAUAUAUUCAUGAGAAUCUAGAAGGACAUGUGCAUGUGCAGGGCUGUGUGUAUGCUCUGAAAAGACCUUAGAAGACCCUGACCUCUGGCUGACCUUGAAGCUCUGUGCAAUCAGGAAGUAAAGGCUAAAGCAGAGUUUUAACUGACUGCUGGAGCACUGAAGAUGUGCCCUAACAUGCAGAGAGAGAGCCCUUCAGCAAAGGCUGGCAAACUUAAUGUUUCAAGGCAUUAAAAGGAAACCUCUGUUUAAUCAUUAAGUGACCAUUAAGCUAAUCAUGCAGAGACUUCAGUAGCCAUAAGAAAACAAAUAAAGACCUUACAGAAUUAGUCCAGGACAGGCACUCAGUAAAUAUACACAGCAACAGCAGCAACAACAGCAACAACAACAGAGCAAUAACAACAAACCUGAGGGAGUGAGAAAUAUGCUUCCUAGAACUGCCAUAUUAUAAUCUUUUAAAUACUCAGCUUUAACAAGAAAAAGGCACAUAAAGAAAAAGGAAAGUAUAGCCUACAUACAGGAAAACAGAAACAAUAUAAAUUGUCUCUUUGGAAUUUUAAAUGUUGGACUUGCUAGAGAAAACUUUAAAUCACCUAUAAUAAAUAUAUUCAAAGAACAAAAGAAACCAAGUCCAAAGACUUCAGUGAAAGUGUGAGAAUGAUGCCUAACUAGAUAUAGAAUAUCAAUAAAGAAUUGAAAUCAUUAAAAAAUAGGAAUUAUAAUGUUGAAAAGUAUAAUAGGCAAAACAAAAAUUUACUAGAAGCAGAUUUGAACUAGCAGAAGAAAGAAUCAGGAAACUUGAAGAGAUUAUCCAGUCUAAGGAACAGAACAAUAACAACAAAAAAGAAAAAUAAACAGAGCCUCAGCGACCUGGUGGGACCCCAUCAAAUGUACCAACAUGUGCAUGAUGAAAGUCUCAGAAGGAGAAGAGGAAGAAAAUGGGCCAGAAAGUGUAUUUAAAGAAAUAAUGCCUGAAAAUUUUCUAAAUUUGUUGAAUAAUAUUAAUAUUCAUAUCCAAGAAGCAUAAACUAGAAAAAAAUCCAAAGAGAGCCAUACCCUGACUCAUUAUAGUCAAACCGUUGAAUGUUUGAAGAAAACUGAAGUAAAAUAAUAAUGAAAGCAGUAAGAUAAAAGUACUUAUGUUGUCUACUCUUUAGAAAUCAUGAAGUAGGAUGACAUUCAAUUUUCUAAAAGGAAAGAUCAUUAACCAUAUCCAGCAAAAUUAUUCUUCAAAAAAGGAAGAGAGAUUUACACAUCCCUACAUACAGAAAUACUGAGCUAAAUCAUUGCUAGCAAACCUGCCUUACAAGAAAUACCAAAGGAGUCCUUCAUUCUGAAAUGAAAAAACACUAGAUAGUAACUCAAAUUCACAUGAAAAAGUAAAGAACACUGAUAAAGGUAACUACAUAUGUAAUUGGGAAAAAGAAUACAAAUGUAUUUUGUUUCUUUUCUUUUAUCAUAUUUAAAAGUAACUACAUAAAGCAAUAAUUAUAAAACUGUGUUGGUGAACUUAUAAUUAAGAUGAAAUUUGAAUAACAAUAGUACAAAAGAAGGGGAGGAAAUUGGGCUAUAUUGGAGCACAAGUUUUAUUUACUAUUGAAAUUAAUUCCAACUAGAUUGUUUUAAGUUAAGAUGUUACUUGUAAUCUCUAGGGUAACUAUGAAGACAAUAGUUUAAAAAUUAUGUAAAAGAAAGAAUAAGGGAACAACUGAAAAAAAUUUUCUUUUUCAGUUUUCAAUUCGAUGCAUGUAAAAAUUCUAGAGAGCAACAUGAAGUACUACCCUGACAACAAUUGCAAAACAAAAAAAAUCAAACCACCAGACUUCAAAAUAAAUACUGUUUAAAUGGUAGUAGUUGGUUUACUAUUUGAUUGAAGCACUGAUUCAAGAAUACCCACGAAUUAAAACAAAGUGUUAGACAAUAUAAAAUUCACCCAGAAUAUCUCUGUUGCUCACAAAAUGCUUGGGAUAGACAAGAAACCAGAACAUAGAGUAUAUUCAGUGGGAAUAAGCUCUAGAUAGCAACACAAGACCAUGGAAGUGGGCAUUACAAAGGAACACUCCAUUUGUUUUCAGCCAUGCCAUUGAAUUCAUGCUUCUAACUAUUCUAAUAAAGUUAGCUGUCCUAAAAUUGAAAACAGGAAGGAAUACCGGAAAUAAAAUCCUAACAAGUAAGCAACUUCUAGUGGUCUAUCAUUAAUUCUAGUUGAUUAUUUUAAGAAUUAUUCUAAUUCUUAUUUACGAAGCAAUUAAAUGAAAUUCAAAGUUAAGAAAUUGAAAUAGAGACUUGAAGUGACUGAAUUUUAGGGGAGUCUUAAGAUUGUCUUACAAUUAUUAAUAAAAAAUAGACGACUUGACUAAUAAAGUGAGUCUGGUUGCAUCCUAACAUUUAAAACACAUGUAGGACUGUGAGCAUGCGUGCAAGCACGCAUGCACACACACAGAUCCCAGCACGUAAUCCCAAUAUGACACUGGUCUAUGCAGACCACAAGAUGAGAUUGAGUGCUCACCCACUGAGUUAUGUACGUGGCUCUUUGUAAUGUUUUAGCCUUUUGCUUCCUUUAUUGUCUUUACAUUACAGCUUCAUACGCUUCUCAAUGACAUUGUCUUUCACCAUUGUUUGCAAAGAUUUAGUCUUUUUCUAAA